rnacentral:lncRNA from 1 species
GCGUGACUCGAACUCAGGACCUCCUGCUCUGAUACCAUGUGAAACAUCCGUUAUAUUCUAAAAGCUUAAGCUGUUAGAUAACGGUGUUUAAACAUUUUUAUAUUUAACACUCCCCCUCACGUCUGAGCGCGAAACUUUUCAAUCGGCCCAUGAUACCAUGUGAAACAACCGUUGUACUCUAAAAGCUUAAGUUUUUAGAGUACAACGGUUGUUUCAAGCUUUUAGAGUACAACGGUUGUUUCACAUGGUAUCAGAGCAGGAGAUCCUGAGUUCGAGUCACGCCAGACUCCUAGCAUAUUAAUUUCCUCCCAUUUAAUUCAAACCCACGUCAUGGGCCGACUAAAAAGUCUCGAGCCCAGACGUGAGGGGGAGUGUUAAAUAUAAAAGUGUUUAAACACCGUUCCCUAACAGCUUAAGCUUUUAGAGUACAACGGUUGUUUCACAUUAAAAAAGUCUCGAGCCCAGACGUGAGGGGGAGUGUUAAAUAUAAAAAUGUUUAAACAUCGUUAUCUAACAGCUUAAGCUUUUAGAGUACAACGGUUGUUUCACAUGGUAUCAAAGCAGGAGGUUCUGAGUUCGAGUCACGCCAGGCUCUUAGCAUAUUAAUUUCCUCCCAUUUAAUUCAAACCCACGUCAUGGGCCGACUAAAAAGUCUCAAGCCCAGACGUGAGGGAGAGUGUUAAAUAUAAAAUUAUAUAAACACCGUUCUCUAACAGCUUAAGCUUUUAGAGUACAACGGUUGUUUCACAUGAUAUCAGAGUAGGAGGUCCUGAGUUCGAGUCACGCCAGGCUCCUAACAUAUUAAUUUUCUUCCAUUUAAUUCAAGCCCACGUCAUGGGCCGAUUAAAAAAGUCUCGAGCCCAGACGUGGCUUUUAGAGUACAACGGUUGUUUCACAAGCAUGCCCCCUACGUUUCUAUUAAAUUA